GACGAACGCUGGCGGCGUGCUUAACACAUGCAAGUCGAACGAUGAAGCUAGAGCUUGCUCUGGUGAAUUAGUGGCGAACGGGUGAGUAACACGUGAGUAACCUGCCCCGAACUCUGGGAUAACUGCUGGAAACGGUAGCUAAUACUGGAUACGACCUACGAAGGCAUCUUCUGUAGGUGGAAAGAAUUUCGGUUCGGGAUGGACUCGCGGCCUAUCAGCUUGUUGGUGAGGUAAUGGCUCACCAAGGCGACGACGGGUAGCCAGCCUGGGAGGGUGACCGGCCACACUGGGACUGAGACACGGCCCAGACUCCUACGGGGGGCAGCAGUGGGGAAUAUUGCACAAGGGGCGCAAGCCUGAUGCAGCAACGCCGCGUGAGGGAUGACGGCCUUCGGAUUGUAAACCUCUUUUAGUAGGGAAGAAGCGAAAGUGACGGUACCUGCAGAAAAAGCACCGGCUAACUACGUGCCAGCCGCCGCCGUAA
rnacentral:rRNA from 1 species